AUCGCUUGUUGGCCUUUUGGCUAAGAUCAAGUGUAGUAUCUAUUCUUAUCAGUUUAAUAUCUGAUACAUCCUCUAUCCAUAAAAGGAAGAAAUUGAUAAGUUAGACUUCAU
rnacentral:snRNA from 1 species